GUGCUCACUUUGGCAGCACAUAUGUUAAAACUGAAACAAUAAAGAGAAGAUUAGCAUGACCACUGUGCAAGGAUGACAUGCAAAUAUGAGAAGCUUUCCAUAUAUAU
rnacentral:snRNA from 1 species